rnacentral:rRNA from 1 species
GAGUUUGAUCGUGGCUCAGAUUGAACGCUGGCGGCAUGCCUUACACAUGCAAGUCGAACGGCAGCAUGAUCUAGCUUGCUAGAUUGAUGGCGAGUGGCGAACGGGUGAGUAAUACAUCGGAACGUGCCCUGUAGUGGGGGAUAACUAGUCGAAAGAUUAGCUAAUACCGCAUACGACCUGAGGGUGAAAGUGGGGGACCGCAAGGCCUCAUGCUAUAGGAGCGGCCGAUGUCUGAUUAGCUAGUUGGUGGGGUAAAGGCCCACCAAGGCGACGAUCAGUAGCUGGUCUGAGAGGACGAUCAGCCACACUGGGACUGAGACACGGCCCAGACUCCUACGGGAGGCAGCAGUGGGGAAUUUGGACAAAUGGGCGAAAGCCUGAUCCAGCAAAUGCCGCGUGUGUG